GAUCCAACAUGACAGCGAAUGACUUAGAUACCUAGAACAUCCACUCAAACUGAACACUUUAUUAAAUACACAGCUUUCAUGGGCCAUUAAAUGUGCGAUAUAUGAAUCAUUAGACCAAUCCUUAUAAACAGAGAAUCACUGAAGCAUGCCCACAGGUCACCCAGCAGGUAGUGGCACAUCAGGGAGAGGGAGUCUGGGUGUUUCAGUUUAUGGAGAAGAAAGCACCUAUUUCCCCUUGCUAUUCCCACAAUUUACAUAUUAGCAUCCACGAAUCAACAAUAAUAACUAAAAACUAUUUUAACCUGUUGACGCAAACAGCUAUAUUGAAAAAAACUAGUUUUCACCACAACCCGUGGCUCAACAAUGCCCCUAGAAGUCAAUUUUUAAGAAUCCAACGAAAUUGCAAAUUAGAUUCCGACUACCUCCAACAGGCUGAUUAUAUUAAAAAACAAUUCAUUGAAAAAGGAUAUGAUAAAAUAAUCCUGGAAAAAGAAAUAGAGGAGAUAGGAAAACUACAAAGAAAAAGUCUCAUAAAAUAUAAGCAAAAAAUAACAACAACUGUAACGGAUGAAAUUCCUUUUAUUUGCAACUUCAACGGACUCAACAGACGGAUACAAAGAACAAUUAAAAAACAUUGGCAUUUAUUAAAGGAUGACCCCGUUUUAAAUAAGAUUUUACCAACAAAACCAAAAAUAAUAUAUACAGGAGCUAAGAAUUUUACAAAUAUUUUAGUAAAAAGCCACCUAACCCCCCAAAAAACAAAGCACUGUAUCCAAGAAUUAAAAGGAUUUUAUGGAUGUGGAACAUGUCUCCCUUGUAAAAUAACCGUAUAUUAUUAAUGACCACCUAACUUGCCAUUCAAAAGGAAUUAUAUACAUGUUAAAAUGCCCAUGUAACCUUUUGUAUAUAGGCAGAACGAUUCGACCAUUAAAGGUUAGGAUUGCAGAACACAUUAGGAAUAUAAAGAACGGUUUAGAAACUCACAGUGUGUCAUUACAUUAUAAACAAGUCCACAACCAAAAUCCUGAAAAUUUGUUUUUUUGUGCAAUAAAAGAAGUCAAAAGAAAUUGGAGAGGUGGCAAUUAUAUAAAAAUAUUAGGAAAAAAAGAAAUAGGGUUUAUUUUUCGUUUUAAGACCCUUAUUCCGUAUGUUCUUAAUUCACACUUUGAAGUCUGUCAUUUUUAAUAUUAUUUUAG